rnacentral:tRNA from 1 species
ACGGGCGUAAGACAACGGCAGUCGGCCGGCCUCCAAAACCGUGCAGUGUGGGUUCAAAUCCUGCCGCCCGUGCCA